UACAGAGGUCCCGAGCGUUGUUCGGAUUCACUGGGCGUAAAGGGUGCGCAGGUGGGUUUGCAAGUUCGAUGUGAAAGCCCCGGGCUUAACCCGGGAAUGGCAUUGGAUACUGCAGAUCUGGAGGAUCGGAGGGGGGGACUGGAAUUCUUGGUGUAGCAGUGAAAUGCGUAGAUAUCAAGAGGAACACCAGUGGCGAAGGCGAGUCCCUGGACGAUACCUGACACUGAGGCACGAAAGCUAGGGGAGCAAACAGG
rnacentral:rRNA from 1 species